GUUUAAAGCCCUCCUGAUGAGGUUUCUGAGAUUUUUGGCAAAAACAUUCCUCCCAACCGUUGUGAGGUGCAGCCCAUCGCUUGCCAGAAGUCCAUCUUCAAGAAACUGCAGUCUGUGAUCUAAGAAUCCAAAACGUUCCUGUUUACACCAUUUAUAUAAAAAAAUAUAUGUCACCUGAGCAUGCCAACCAUUAAUGGUGGCCCUGUUCCAUCAAUGGUGUCUCUGAAAAAUUUACACAUCACUUGGGAAGACAUGCGAACUAAUGCCAGUGUGCUGGAAUAAUAAUAAUAAUAAUAAUAAUAAUAAUAAUAAUAAUAAAUUUUAUUUAUAUCCCGCCCUCCCCAGCCGAAGCCGGGCUCAGGGCGGCUAACAACAAUAAAACAGUACAAAAGUACAGCACAAACAACACUCUAAAAUCAUUCAUUAUAAAAUUAAUUAAUUCAAGCCACUGGCAACCAUUGGGCCAGAGCUCCGCGAAGAUUGCCGAGGGAGGGAGUCAGGCUGUGCCCUGGCCAAAGGCCUGGUGGAACAGCUCUGUCUUGCAGGCCCUGCGGAAAGAUGUCAAGUCCCGCAGGGCCCUGGUCUCUUGUGACAGAGUGUUCCACCAGAUCGGAGCCACGGCCGAAAAAGCCCUGGCUCUAGUUGAGGCCAGCCUAACUUCUCUGUGGCCUGGGACCUUCAAGAUGUUUUUAUUUGAAGACCGUAAGUUUCUCUGUGGGGCAUACCAGGAGAGGCGGUCCCGUAGGAACGAGGGUCCUAGGCCGUAUAGGGCUUUAAAGGUUAAAACCAGCACCUUAAACCUGAUCCUUUACUCCACCGGGAGCCAGUGCAGCUGGUAUAGCACUGGGUGAAUGUGAUCUCGCAGUGAAGACCCCUAAGGAGUCUCGCUGCAGCAUUCUGCACCAGCUGGAGUUUCUGGGUCAGUCUCAAGGGCAGCCCCACGUAGCGCAAGUUACAAUAAUCCAGUCUGGAGGUGACCGUCGCAUGGAUCACAGUGGCUAGGUCAGGGUGAGAGAGGUAAGGAGCCAACUGCUUAGCUUGGCGGAGAUGGAAAAAUGCCGCCUUUGUUGUAGCUGCAAUCUGCGCCUCCAUGGAAAGGGAGGUGUCGAAGAUUACACCCAAACUCUUAACGGACGGUGCUGGCACUAAUUGCGCCCCUGCAAGAGAUGGGAGUUGCCCCCCCAAUCCCAUAUCGUCCCGUCCCAGCCACAGGACCUCUGUCUUCGAAGGAUUGAGCUUCAACCAGCUCCCACGUAACCAUCCAGCCACAGCUUCCAAACAUCUGGUCAGUGUGUCUGGGGCCGAGUCAGGAUGGUCAUCCAUCAACAGAUAGAGUUGGGUGUCAUCAGCAUACUGAUGGCAACCCAGCCCAAAACUCCAGACAAGCUGGGUGAGGGGGCGCAUAAAGAUGUUGAAAAGCAUCGGGGAGAGUAUCACACCCUGAGGUACUCCACACACCAAGGAGUGGCGCGAUGACAAUUGCCCCCCAAGCGCCACCCUCUGUCCCCGACCAGAGAGAAACAAGCACAGCCAUUGAAGGACUGUGCCCUGGAUCCCCACGUCGGCAAGGCGGUGGUCCAGAAGUUCGUGAUCGACCAUGUCGAAAGCUGCUGACAGAUCUAGAAGAAUCAGCAGCCCCGACCCACCUCAAUCCAGCUGUCUAUGAAGAUCAUCUGUUAGGGCAACUAGAGCCGUCUCGGUCCCAUGACCAGCGCGGAAGCUGGACUGGAAUGGAUCCAGAGCCGAUGUUUCAUCCAGAAACCCACCAAGCUGUUCAGCAACUGCUCUCUCAAUCACCUUACCCAGGAACGGAAGAUUCGAAACCAGGCGGUAAUUGGAUAGAUCUAAAGGAUCUUAUGAUGUUUUCUUUAAGAGUGGGCGCACCACUGCCUCCUUCAGUUCCCCUGGGAAUGUCCCCAUGCCAAGGGACAAAUUGAUGAUAUCCCCCAGGAGGGCCCGCACCUCAUCUGGACACGCUCUAAUCAGCCAAGACGGGCACGGGUCGAGAGGACAGGUGGUGGGCUUUCCAGCUCGGAGGAGUCUGUCCACAUUGGCUGGGGAUAUCCGGUUGAAGUGGUCCAAUACUGGACCCGAGGACAGUUGAGGGGCCUCCAGUUCCUUUAUUGUAUCCAAAUUGGCAGGGAGGUCAUGGCGGAGCAACAAGACCUUCUCCGCAAAAAAGCUCGCAAAUGCCUCACAGCUGUGUGUCAAAUUAUUAUUUAAAUUUGGCUGUCCCUCAAGGGACGUUAAAGACCUGAUUAUACUAAAUAAUUGCGCCCGGUGAGAGCUAGCAGAUGCAAUGGAGGCUGAGAAGUAAGACUUCUUAGCAGCCUUCACCGCCAUCUCGUAGGUUUUCAUAAAAGCCCUGUAAGAUGUUCUUGAGGCUCCGUCACGGGCACCCCGCCAUACUCGCUCUAGCCGUCUGAGGUCCCGCUUCAUUUUCCGGAGCUCCUCGGUAAACCAGGGAGCCCGGUUUCUGCGGGGUCGCAGAGGGCGCUUAGGUGCAAUCUCAUCGAUGGCUGCCAGGAGCUGGAUAUUCCAGCCCUCAACAAGCUCAUUCAAUGAGUCGCCAGGGGGAGAAAGGUCCCGCAAGGCUUGGCGGAAUCUAUCAGGGUCCAUCAGCCUCUGUGGGCGAGCCCAAAUCGGCUCGCCACCUAAGCAGGGUGGGGGUGGGAAGUCAAUCCUGGCUUUCAGAGCGUAGUGAUCGGACCAUGGCACCUUCAUCGAAGGAGACAUGAUCACAUCUAUACCUACGCCAAAGAUCAAAUCCAGUGUGUGGCCUGCUUGAUGUGUGGGGCCCGAAACAAACUGGGAGAGCCCUAGUGACGCCAUGGAAGACACCAGGUCCAGAGCCUGUGAGGAGGGAGUGGCAUCAGCAUGGAUGUUGAAGUCCCCCUAUACCAAUAGGUUAGGGAACUCCAAGGCCCAGCCGGCCACCACCUCCAAUAGGCCUGACAGGGUGGCUGCUGGUGCGCUAGGUGGCCGGUACACCAGCCAGACAGCCAAGCUCUCCUCGGAGCCCCACACUAGGCCAACACAUUCAAUGCCGGGGAUCGAUGGCAAUGGUAGAUCCCUGAAAGGACAAUCUUCCCGGAUUAAUAAUGCCACCCCUCCCCCCCCGGCCCACAGUCUGUGACUGGUGGAGGACGGAGAAACUGGUGGAGGACGGAGAAGCAAAUAUCACUAGUGUAGAAGCAAUGAUUCUUCAACAUCCACUUCGUUGGGCUGAUCAUGUUGUUUGGAUGCCUGAUUAUCAUCUUCCAAAGCAACUACUCUAUUCUGAACUUAAAAAUGAAAAGCAUAAUGCUAGUGGUCAACAAAAGAGGUUUAAAGACUCUCUCAAGGCAAAUAAAAAAAAAUGUAGGAUAAACACCAGCAACUGGGAAACACUAGCCUGCAAGUGCUCCAACUGGAGAACAGCCUUUACCAAAGGUGUCAAAGACUUUAAAGACACUUGAACUCAGGACAAAAGGGAGAAACGUGCUAAGAGGAAGGCACAUUUGGCAAACCCUCACCGUAACCAACUCCCGCCUGGAAACCAAUUUUCAGGAGCUGGCCGGCUGCUGGCUUGAGAAAACAGCACACAAGAGGUAAUUAACAGAAGAUUUAUUGUAUACAAGCAAUUAGCCUCCAACCGCUCUCUCCAAGCGACCAUCCAUCACAAUCAAGUUGACCCUUCUGAAGAAUACUUCCGGCUACUGCAGAAUAUCCUGAACCUCCUACCCUUACAUUUCGGAGGUCAUCUUCUGUCUUGGACCUUCCCCCUUCAUCUAGUCCUGGGAAUGAUGGGGUCAGCUACCUCCUCUCCCGGUGAGGAAAUGCUCUCCCUUCCUUGUGCCGUGAGUGUCUGUGAUUCCUCAGAAAGCUGAGGCUAGGCUGGCCUCAACUAGAGCCAGGGCUUUCUCGGUCGUGGCUCUAAUCUGGUGGAACGCUCUGUCACAAGAGACUAGGGCCCUGCGGGACCUGACAUCUUUCCGCAGGGCCUGUAAGACAGAGCUGUUCCACCAGGCCUUUGGUCAGGGCGCAGCCUGACCCCCUCCUCUGGCAAUCUGCACAGAAUUUUGCUUAAUGGUUGCCAUCAAUUUGAUUUUAAUUAAUUUUUAUAAUGAAAGGUUUUUAGAAUGUUGGAUUAUUUUGAUUGUUGUUAGCCGCCCUGAGCCCAGCUUCGGCUGGGGAGGGCGGGGUAUAAAUAAAAUUUAUUAUUAUUAUUAUUAUUAUUAUUCCUCAGCCCACCUUUCCUGAGCCGAUAAGCCACAUUCCUGCCAGCUUCAGAGGGAGGAGAUGGCGUCAGCCCACUAGUUCCAGCUGUCUGAGAAAUUUGCAAGUCUCUCUGUUUUCCUUCUGCCUGCCUGCCUUCCAUCUCAGGCUGUCCUUGGUUUUGGGCUGUCGUGUUCAUAACAGCUAUGUCCCCACUGUGGAAGGACAUGUGCAUCCAGAGCUGGCCUCCACAGUCACUUAUGGACUCACUAUUAAGACUGUGUUCAUAGAAGACAUUCUUACUUGGCUACGAGGGAUUGCCAAAGAAGCUGCUCAGGUAAAUUUUGAUGAUCUUGAGUACAGGACUGGAGGAACAUUUUGCUCUACAGGCAAGCCUUCAUUGUCCUCAUAAGGUCCUGUCUACGGAGGCUCCCCUUUUCCUUAGCAAUGGAUGCUAGCUUGUCUCAGCCAAGGGACAGAAAAGACCAUUGUAGAGGUUCUUGCAUUUGCAUUGCCAAAUGGGGUAGAAAGGAAUGUGCCAUUGAUUUGUGAUAAUGCCUCUUGCUUCUACAGAUUUGAGGAUGGAACGUGUAAAGGAGUGUGUGUGGUUUGUCUCUGAGUUUUCCAUUGCUGGAGUAGAGUCUCAGUGCACAAAGACAAGAGUCACAGCCACAGCCAUAGACAUGCAGCCCCUGGAAAGUUCUCGUGAAGGAAUGUGGCCCUCAGACCAAAGAAGGUUCCCAACUUCGAGAACACCGUUGAUUAGGUGGUAUAAAACAUUAUUAUUAUUAUUAGCAGUAGUAGUACCAUUUACCUACCAGUGUGGUGCUGUGGUCUAAACCACAUGGUCUGCCAAUCAAAAGGUCAGUGGUUUGAAACCCCGUGACAGAGUGAGCUCCCGUUGCUCCAGCCCAGCUCCUGCCAGUUUGAAAGCACGCCAGAGCAAGAAGAUAAAUAGGUUCUGCUGUGGUGGGAAGGUAAACAGCAUUUCCGUGUGCUCUGGUUUCUGUCACUGUGUCCCAUUGUGCCAGAAGCGGUUUAGUCAUGCUGGCCACAUGACCCGGAAAAUUGUCUGUGGACAAACACCAGCUCCCUUGGCCUGAAAAGUGAGAUGAGCGCCGCAACCCCAUAUUCUCCUUUGACUGGACUAAACCGUCCAGGGACCCUUUACCUUUACCUUUUAAUUAAUAAUACAUACAUUGUGAAUAUAGGCAGGAUGAAGGGAGCACAUUUCACAGAAGAUUAAACUACCACGAUGCUAAAAAAUUCGGACUUGCAUCUAUUGCCUGCAGAGACUAGUGUUGAUAGGAUGAAGUGAAAGAAACAUUUACAAUAAGAAAAGAGAAGUUGGAGAAGGGUGUUGUUUUGAUUUUGGUGUUUUGUUUUGGGGUUGUUUUGUUUUGUUUUGUUUUUUUCAAAUUAAGUAAGAUGUCAAGAUCAACAAACCCAAAGCUGCUAGUAUGCUGGUGAGGGGAACAACAUUUCUGCGUGAAAAACAGAGCUGACCACCUUUGGUGAGCAACUUUAAGUAUUUUAAAUCACUUUUAACUAACAUAAAUGCAGCUGACGGCAUAAUGUCAAGCAGACAGAAUCAUAAAAUUGUAGGCAGCACUAUUUAGGAAAGCUUUUAAUGUUUGAUGUAUCACGGUAUUUUAAUAUUUUGUUGGAAGCUGCCCAGAGUGGCUGGGGAAGCCUGGCCAGUUGGGCGGGGUAUAAAUAAAUUAUUAUUAUUAUUAUUAUUAUUAUUAUUAUUAUUGGGUCCCUAAGCUCUGCAGUGCAGGAAUCAUAAUGGAAGAAUCCCUUACCAGUGGCCAUCCAAUGAGAGACUGCCACUUCCUGAGGGAGACCGCUCUACUGUCAAAGUGAAGAACCUGACAUUUGUCCCUACUGACAUUCAUUUACCAUAUUUUUCUGUGUAUUGGACGAGGCUUUUUGGCUCAAAAAUCAUGUCAAAAAACUGGGGUCGUCUAAUACACGGAUAGUGGCAUGGGGGGGUGAGAAGCGGCACACCGUCAGCCAGCUUGUUGGCAGAAGCGUGGCUUCCCCCGAUGCCGCAGCGAGCGGGGAGCGAUCUGGGGGGUGUUUCCUGCCUGCAGUUACGUGGGGGGGGGAGAAGCUGUGCGCCGCCAGCCAGCUCAUUGGUGGGAGCGCAACUGCUCCUGAUGCCGCUGUGUGCAGCAGAGACUCCCUGGAAUGUUUCCCAUGUGUGGCGGCAUGAUAGCGCAAUGGCUGGCAGGAGCGCAAAUUCCCCCGAUGCUGCUGCACACGGGAAAUGAUCUAGGAAGUGUUCCCUGCCCCCAGCUGUGGGGGGGGGGAGAGGCUCAACAACUUUGGGCCACCUCCCCUCAUUUUCCUAAAAUUGAGUCCCCUAAAAUAGGGGGUGUCCUAUACAUGGGUGCGUCCUAUAGACGGAAAAUUAUGGUAGUUAGUUUGGGCCCAAUUCUCCAAUCUAUUGGGGUCAUCGUGAAUCAUGAUUCUGUCUUUUGCAGCAUUAGAUACCCCUCUCUUUGGUGUGAUCUGCAAAUCUGAUGAGCCGGUAACAACAACAUGGACAUUCAAUAAGGCAGAAUGUUGGAAGAUUCAGGACAGAUGGAAGAAAGCACUUCUUCACGCAGUGCACAGUCAAACUGUGGAAUUUGCUCCCCCCGGGGGCAGUGACAGCCACCAACAGGGAUGGCUUUAAAAGAGGACUAGACAAUGUCAUGGAGGAAGAGAGGGCUAUUGUUGGACGCUAGUCGUGGUGGCUCUGCUGUGCCUCCGCAGCUGGAGGCAGCAAUGCUUCUGAAUACCACAUAUCCGGAACAUCACACACCUUCCACAUACCUGAGAGGAAAAUAGGGACAUUCUAUUCUACAUCCGUAUCACUGCUUGAGUAUUUCCUCCUGGUUCAGUACAAAAGAUAUUAGAGGAAACACAAAACUGCAGUAUUUGAAGCACAGAAAUCAUUGAAAUUAUGUAUUGGAUUUGGGGAAGCCCGGGGGGCGGGGAGAAAACCCCAAAUCAAUAAAUACAACCAACUGUGUGUGUGGAGACUAUGUGAUGUCAUCAUGCAUUUAUGAAUAUUUUAGAAGCAUGAUAACUUUGAACAAUCAUUAUUGUUGCAAAUGUACAGGUGUAUGAUAUGGGCUAUGGACAUAUAAACUUGUGAGUUUGGGAAUACAUAAAUUUCCCUUUUUUAGUGUUUCAAGCUUCUGAGCAAAUUAGGAAUGUGUAAGCAACAGCAGUGUCCUUGUGUUGGGGAAAAUCCUGGAUGGAUCAGCUGCAGAGACCACAUCCCAGGCAUCCCCUCCCCAGCUGCCCUGGGACUCACCUUCACCCAAAUGCACAAAAUGGAGAGACUCACAUCAGAUUUCAGAAGGCACAGCCAAUUCAAUGCCCUUUCCCUAACAGCGUUUCCGUGCUCUGCUCUGGUUCACCAUGCUGGCCACAUGACCCGGAAGCUGUCUGCAGACAAACGCCGGCUCCCUCGGCCUAUAGAGCGAGAUGAGCCGCAACCCCAGAGUCGUCCACGACUGGACCUAACGGUCAGGGGUCCCUUUACCUUUACCUUUCCCCAUCCACAUGAGAAGCCAGGCAGGAAAGCGCUUUGGAGGGAGGCAUUUUUGUCUCGGGGAACCCCUCCCCAUCUCCCCAAAUCCCCUUCCUGUCUAGGAAUCUAGUCCAGUUCAUUUUAAGCCAGAGAGAGAGAGCCAAGCUGCAGGAUCAGAUCUCUCUGCCUCUCUUUCAAAGCAGGCGCCAAAGAGGAAAUGCCCACAACCCCCAGGGGGGCAGCGCAGUGACUCAGUGAUACUUCAGACUCCCAAACUAGCAAGGAAAGGCAAAGCAGCAAUGCGAAGAAACUGGGCAGAGACCUAAGAGGUUUGGAUGCUGAACAGACCAUUGUGUGCCGUGUUGCUGAGAAGCCCCUGAGAGCAUGCAAAUGAGAAGCUGAAGCAGGCUGUGCUUCUCUCUUUCCCUGAAAAGGUGGAGAAAGAUUUGAGUUUUUUUGAGGGGGCAGAGAAAGGCUUGCAUUUGGGAAUUCAGGACUCUGUGUGACAAUCAGCAGCCAUGAUGGCUUAUGGGUUUUCAUGACAGUCCCAGCUGGAGACGAUGAUGCUAGCUGUUAGAAACUACAAGAGGGAAGAGCUCUUGGGCUUGGGUCCUGCUUGCCAGUUUCCCACAGGUUGGCCACUGUGACAACAGGAUGCUGGCUUAGAUGGGCCAUUGGCCUGAUCCAGCAGGGCUCUUAUGCUCUCAUGUUUAGGCAAAAGAACACACUUUUUGUCUUCAAUCAGCACAUGGCAGGUUACUGCACAGCAAAUGGAUGCAGCACACAGUCAGCUUGAGUGGAGGCCUCAGCUGAUGUGCAUUAGUUGCUGGGGGAGGGAAUCAGGCAACCGUCUUUUGUUAGGGGGGAAAACAGCUCCAUCUGUGAACUGGCUGGGAAUCGUGCGGCAGGAUUAUUUUCAGGGACCCAGCAGUGUGGGGAUUUUUCUUUUCAUGCCAGCAGUUCUUAAUAUCUGAGAGUUGUUGUUGCGUGGCAAAAUCCAUGGAGAUAUUCUUGCAUUACGCUCUGCUAAUUGUGACCAAGCCAGGCUGCAAAUAUCAGUUGUUGCUAUAGUAAUGUAUUGUGUCCUGAAACCUUGCAGAAUAAAACUUCUGUUACUCAAGGACGCACAUGCUCCCUCUAAAAAGGAAGGUGUGUGGCUCUCUGUAUGCAUGGAAGAGGAAUGAAAAGAGGGUAAAAACACACUGAAGGCAGCAAUCAAUAGAAAAGAAGUUCUUUGUUUAUCAAAUGGAAUUUGUUUUAUUGCACAUAGCAGCUCAUCGGUGACCAUAAUAAAUAUUUAGUGAUUUCUUAUCAAGGGGACAAAUGGUUCAAUUAAAAAGAAAGUUUGGGAUAACUAUUUUUAAAAACCCACCUAAGUUAAGAGGACCCUGAUUUUAAGCUAAUAAAUAACCAUAACCUAAGGACAAAUUUGCAUUAGCUAUGUCCACACAAUGUUUAAAAAUGAGGCCACAUUGGUUUGGGUCACACCCUCUGGAGCAACAAAAAAUAAGCUUGCUUGCGACCUUCAGAUAUAAGAAGAUGGCCAUCCUAUCACUUCUCAGUCUUCUUUUCUCCAGGCUAAACAUAGCCAACUUCCUCAACUGUUGCACAUAAAGUUUGGUUUCCAGACCCUGGAAAGGAGGGAGGGAAGACAAGAAGCAGUAGAGGGAGGUUGACAUCUUUACUAAGAAGCUGGUACAGUGGUACUUCGGGUUAAGUACUUAAUUCGUUCCGGAGGUCCGUACUUAACCUGAAACUGUUCUUAACCUGAAGCACCACUUUAGCUAAUGGGGCCUGCUGCUGCUGCUGUGCUGCCGGAGCAGGAUUUCUGUUCUCAUCCUGAAGCAAAGUUCUUAACCUGAAGCACUAUUUCUGGGUUAGCGGAGUCUGUAACCUGAAGCGUAUGUAACCCAAGGUACCACUGUAUUUAAAAAUAUUCACCCCAUUUAUGUCUUGCAUAUUUAUUUAUUUAUUAUUAUUAUUAUUCUGACUCCCUCCUUUGGCAAUCUUCACAGAACUCUAGCCCAAUGGUUGCCAUCAAUUUGAUUUGAAUUAAUUUUAUAAUGAAAUGAUUUUAGAAUGUUGUAUUAUUUUAUUGUUGUUAGCCGCCCUGAGCCCGGCUCCAGCUGGGGAGGGCUGGAUAUAAAUAAGAAUUAUUAUUAUUAUUAUUAUUAUUAUUACUACUACUACUACUAUUAUUAUUAUAUUGUGUCUCUAAAAACUAGGCUUUUCUAAGAGCUACUAAACACUCUCUCUCUCUCUCUCUCUCUCUCUCUCUCUCUCUCUCUCGCACACACACACACUCACACACACACACACACAGAGAGGGCACAUCAGUGUAAAAGCCUGUUUUGCCCUCUGUUUGUGGAUCAGAAAUUGUUUCAGGGUGAUUGUACAAAGACACAUCUUCAUUUUAUUCAUCCUCAAAGGUAAAGGCAAACUGAAAGAUAGCCAGUCUCCUGCCUGACAAUGAAUGUAGGCCCUUAUGGGUGGGAGAGAGAAAGGGUGGGUGGGGGGGAGAGAAACAGAAAUUGCAUGGAUGCAUGGGGAAAUAUUCAGACUAUUGUCUGUGGGCAAACGGGAUCCUUAAAUCUGAAUGAGAGACAGACGCAAAGAGAGACAAUGCUGCAAAACCCACCAUGGUCAAUCUUAAUCCACGGUACAUUAAGUGGAGACCUGGAAAAUGGAAAUGUUAAUCUUUACUCAGUUUAAGUGAGACUUCUAUCCCAGAUAAGCAGACCAUCAGAAUUUCCCUGAGAGUCACUGUAAACGGGGAUAAGGACCUGGUCUCCACCCCUCCCACAGCAGGAGAUGAUCUGUAGCUGAAGGCGGAUUUCACUAGGAAUUUCCUUUCAGACUCCUGUUCCUGUGAAAUCAGUCUACACUUUUCUUAAUUCUGUGGAUCGAAUUCCAACCCUCCUCAUCCUGCUGCCCUCCAGAUGGUGUUGGACCACAACUCCCACCAGCCCCAGCCAGCAUGGCCAACGGAAGGGUGGGAGUUGCACUGCUAAACCUCUGGAGGAAUCACCUCAGGAAAGGCUGGCCUACUCAGUCCGUGCCAUAUUGAAAGAACAAAUCUUGCCUCUGGUUGGUGUCAAGGGAGGCGUUUCCUUUGAUGUGUCCCUCACAUAACUGAGAGAACAAUUUUUCCAAUGUUAAAUUCAGUUGUCUACAUUUUCACAUCAGUUUGUGUACUUUUGUUUAAAAGAAACAUUUUUAUGGAAAUUCAUCAGCAUUUGGAUUCAAAUCCCCCCCCUUCUUAUAUUAUAUGCAAGGCAAUUUCCCUCAAUAGAAUGCAUUUUUAUGCACAUUUUGCCCAAGCAUUCCCCCCAUACAUUACUUGGCUGGAGAACCGCAUUGCAAAAUUUGGAGCACUGUGCAUUUUGAAGGAUGGUAGUGUUUUCAGAAAGUGAACGUCAGAACAUAAUAAGAACUAUUCUCACUGUGGCCAAGCAGAUGUCUGUGGGAAACCUUGAAGCAGGACCCAGAGCAGCCUUCUCCCCACGGGGGUUUCCACAAACUGGUAUUCAGAAGCAUUGCUGCCUCCAGCCAGAGAAGGCGGAGCAACGGCAUCAUAGCUUGUACCCGUUGCUUUAACUUCAGGUGCAAACAGAAUUGAAUUUCUCCUUCUCCUUUUGUACCAAAAUGAUACCACUGACAAAAUGAUUAAAAUGGUGACCAGGUGAGAGGAACUCCCAGUAUUCUUGCUGCUGCCUUCAUUUCCUGUCUGUCUGCCCCUCCACUGCAACUAUAAUAUGUAGGGUUUUUAAAUUUUAUUUUAUUCUGACUUGCAGCACAUUUUCCAAAGCUGACUGUGAGCAAUAACUAUCCAUCAGAUUUUGCACCUCUUUAAAUGUUGCCGUACAGAUCUUUGCUCAACAAGCUCAUCGGAAUGUGUAGUGUUUUUGAAACAAGAUACAUUUAGAAUGACACAUUUUAAUAGAGAGGAACAUACAAAAAUGCAUAUUUAAAUGAGAAUUAGUUAUGGAUUGAUUUUAUUUCCUUUUGGGGCAGGUUAGAGUAGAGCAGAUAUAUGAGUCAAGACUUGUGCAAAAGUAAGACAAACUGGAAAUUGCCUGAUCUAAGGCUGGAUCUACACUGACCUUUUUAACAUUAUUAGAUAUAUCAUUCUAAAAUGUCACAGGGCAUACUGGUAAAAUAAAAACGUUCCUUACAUUGUUUCCUCUGUAACAAGGCAGUUUCCCUUACUGCUGGUUUCUGGUUGCUCUGCAGUGCCCUCUGGCGUCACAUUUUAAUAACACAUUAUUAGUGUUACUGUUAUGUACUGAGGUUCUCACCCUGGGCCAGCAGGGGGAUACUGUAGAUAGUUAUGCAAAUAAGGGAUCGAAAGUGACAUUCAGUGAUUGGAUAGUUUUAGAAAAGUUGUUACAAUUAUGUGUACUGGAGCUCUAUAUAAGCAGGCUGACUGAACCCUUCAGUUCAGUUCUGUUCUGGCCUCUGAAUAAACAAGAGCUGUUUGAAGAAUUACUGCGUCGUCCCCACAACUUGUUCACCUACAACUUAACAGUUACAAAGUGUAAUGUGUCCAAAUUCAUUCUGAUAUCCAUUCCUUAACCCUUCCUGAAUGUUAUAAAAGCCAUGUGUGUGUCAUGAGACAAAGGUUCUGGAGAGGAGAAGCAGAGCAGAAGAAGUAAGGCAAGGCCUCCACAGUUAUUCAAGCCUAAGCCUGCUAACUGCUAACAGCAAACUGCUCAGUGACUGGGCCUGGAGACUUCUGGACCACAACUCCCAUCAUCCCUGCUCAUUGACUAGGCUGGUUGGGGUGGAUAGGAAGUGUUGCUCAGCAUCAGAAAGGAGGAGGAGUGGCGUUAUAUGUCAGGGAUGUGUAUACCUGUGAAGAGAUCCAAGAUUUAGAACCUCAAAGCCAAAGUGAGAGCAUUUGGGACAAAAUUAAGGGAGAGAAGAAUAACAGUGACCUCAUUGUGGGAGUUUACUAUAGAUCCCCAAGCCAAACGGAGGACAUAGAUGAUGCCUUCCUGGAACAGAUGGCCAAGCAUGCAAAAGGAAGGGAGAUAGUAGUAAUGGGGGACUUCAAUUACCCGGAUAUUUGUUGGAUGUCAAACUCAGCCAAGAGCAUAAGGUCAAACAGAUUCCUCACUGGCCCUGCAGACAACUUCAUUGUCCAGAAAGUGGGAGAAGCAACAAGAGGAACAGCCAUUUUAGAUCUGGUCCUAACCAAUGUUGAUGACCUGGUUAGUGGGGUAGAAGUGGAAGGAUCAUUAGGCGCGAGUGAUCAUGCUCUUCUGAAGUUUACUAUACAGCGGAAAGGAGCAGCCAAGCAUAAGCACAACUUCAGGCAAUACCAAUGAGACGGAAACAUGGAAGGUGCCUAAAGAAGCCAGGAUGGCUAUCUAAAGAACUUUUAACUUAGUUAAGAUUUAAAAAGGAUGUGUACAAAAAAUGGAAAAGGGGGGAAACCACCAAAGAGGAAUUCAAACAAAUAGCCAGCACGUGUAGACACAAAGUCAGAAAAGCUAAAGCACAGAAUGAACUCAGGCUUGCUAGAGAGGUUAAAAGCAACAAAAAGGCUUUUAUGGGUAUGUUCGUAGCAAAAGGAAGAACAAAGAAACAGUGGGGUCACUCAGAGGAGAAGAUGGUGAAAUGCAAACAGGGGACACAGAAAGGGCUGAACUCCUCAAUGCCUUCUUUGCCUCAGUCUUCUCCGAUAAAGAAAACAAUGCCCGACCUGAAGAAUUUGGAGCAAAUGAUUCAGCAGAGGAAACACAGCCCUGAAUAACUAAGGAGAUAAUACAAGAAUACUUGGCUAGUUUAGAUGUAUUCAAGUCUCCAGGGCCAGAUGAACUGCAUCCAAGAGUAUUAAAAGAACCGGCAGAUGUGAUCUCAGAACCACUGGCAGUCAUCUUUGAGAAUUCCUGGAGAACAGGCGAAGUCCUGGCAGACUGGAGGAGGGCAAAUGUUGUCCCUAUUUUCAAAAAGGGGGAAAGAGAGGACCCAAAUAAUUACCACCCAGUCAGUCUGACAUCAAUACCAGGGAAGAUUCUGGAGCAGAUCAUUAAGCAAACAGUCUGUGAGCACCUAGAAAGGAAUGCUGUGAUCACCAAUAGUCAGCAUGGAUUUCUGAAAAAUAAGUCAUGUCAGACUAACCUGAUCUCGUUUUUUGACAGAAUUACAAGCCUGGUAGAUGAAGGGAACGCAGUGGAUGUAGCCUACCUUGAUUUCAGCAAGGCAUUUGACAAGGUGCCCCAUGAUAUUCUUGUAAAGAAGCUGGUAAAAUGCGGUCUUGACUAUGCUACCACUCAGUGGAUUUGUAACUGGCUGACUGACCGAACCCAAAGGGUGCUCAUCAAUGGUUCCUCUUCAUCCUGGAGAAGAGUGACUAGUGGGGUGCCACAGGGUUCUGUCUUGGGCCCGGUCUUAUUCAACAUCUUUAUCAACGACUUGGAUGAUGGACUCAAGGGCAUCCUGAUCAAAUUUGCAGAUGACACCAAACUGGGAGGGGUGGCUAACACCCCAGAGGACAGGAUCACACUUCAAAACGACCUUGACAGAUUAGAGAACUGGGCCAAAACAAACAAGAUGAAUUUUAACAGGGAAAAAUGUAAAGUAUUGCACUUGGGCAAAAAAAAAUGAGAGGCACAAAUACAAGAUCAUAGAAUCAUAGAAUCAUAGAGUUGGAAGAGACCACAAGGGCCAUCGAGUCCCACCCCCUGCCAAGCAGGAAACACCAUCAGAGCACUUCCACUUCUACCCCACUAACCAGGUCAUCAACAUUGGUUAGGACCAGAUCUAAAAUGGCUGUUCCUCUUGUUGCUUCUCCCACUUUCUGGACAAUGAAGUUGUCUGCAAGGCCAGUGAGGAAUCUGUUUGACCUUAUGCUCUUGGCUGAGUUUGACAUCCAACAAAUAUCCGGGUAAUUGAAGUCCCCCAUUACUACUAUCUCCCUUCCUUUUGCAUGCUUGGCCAUCUGUUCCAGGAAGGCAUCAUCUAUGUCCUCCGUUUGGCUUGGGGAUCUAUAGUAAACUCCCACAAUGAGGUCACUGUUAUUCUUCUCUCCCUUAAUUUUGACCCAAAUGCUCUCACUUUGGCUUUGAGGUUCUAAAUCUUGGAUCUCUUCACAGGUAUACACAUCCCUGACAUAUAACGCCACUCCUCCUCCUUUCUUGUCUGGUCUAUUUCUCUGAAAUAGAUUGUAUCCCCCCAUUAUUACAUUCCAGUCGUGGGACUUAUCCCACCAGGUUUCAGUGAUGCAUAUUAUGUCAUAUUUAGUUUGCUGUACCAAGAGCUCAAGCUCAUCUUGUUUAUUUCCCAUGCUUUGUGCAUUAGUGUACAGACAUUAAUCCUUCCCCCGUGUCUCUUAUUUAAGGAUUUUUUCCUCCCACCACUAGGUCUGCGUGCUGUUUGCUCCAUUUGGUCUAUGACAUUUGGAAGAUCAUCUUCAUCAAUUGAUAGACUCCUACCUUCAGGAGCACUGUCUCCCUCCCCCACAUUAGGCAGUUUAAAGCCCUCCUGAUGAGGUUUCUGAGAUUUUUGGCAAAAACAUUUCUCCCAACCGUUGUGAGGUGCAGCCCAUCGCUUGCCAGAAGUCCAUCUUCAAGAAACUGCAGUCCGUGAUCUAAGAAUCCAAACCGUUCCUGUUUACACCAUUUGUGAAGCCAGCUGUUCACUUCCACUAUUUUUCCCUCUCUCCCUGGGCCACGUCGUUCAACUGGGAGGACAGAUGAGAUGACAAUUUGUGCAUUUAAUUGCUUCAAUUUCCU